CCACGCCCGCUCAAGAACUACAAAGGAAGUUGACGGGGGCCCGCACAAGCGGUGGAGUAUGUGGUUUAAUUCGAUGCAACGCGAAGAACCUUACCUGGUCUUGACAUCCCGGAGACCCUUAGGAAACUAGGGGGUGCUUCCAUCUGGAAGAAUCUGGAGACAGGUGCUGCAUGGCUGUCGUCAGCUCGUGUCGUGAGAUGUUGGGUUAAGUCCCGCAACGAGCGCAACCCUUGCCUUUAGUUGCCAGCAGUUCGGCUGGGCACUCUAAAGGGACUGCCGGUGUUAAACCGGAGGAAGGUGGGGAUGACGUCAAGUCCUCAUGGCCUUUAUGACCAGGGCUACACACGUACUACAAUGGCCGAUACAAAGGGCAGCGACACUGCGAGGUGAAGCCAAUCCCGUAAAAUCGGUCUCAGUCCGGAUUGGAGUCUGCAACUCGACUCCAUGAAGUUGGAAUCGCUAGUAAUCGUGGAUCAGCAUGCCACGGUGAAUACGUUCCCGGGCCUU
rnacentral:rRNA from 1 species